rnacentral:rRNA from 1 species
UCCAGACUCCUACGGGAGGCAGCAGUGGGGAAUAUUGCACAAUGGGGGAAACCCUGAUGCAGCGACGCCGCGUGAGCGAUGAAGUAUUUCGGUAUGUAAAGCUCUAUCAGCAGGGAAGAAGAUGACGGUACCUGACUAAGAAGCCCCGGCUAACUACGUGCCAGCAGCCGCGGUAAUACGUAGGGGGCAAGCGUUAUCCGGAUUUACUGGGUGUAAAGGGAGCGUAGACGGCGAUGCAAGCCAGAUGUGAAAGCCCGGGGCUCAACCCCGGGACUGCAUUUGGAACUGUGUGGCUGGAGUGCAGGAGGGGCAGGCGGAAUUCCUGGUGUAGCGGUGAAAUGCGUAGAUAUCAGGAGGAACACCGGUGGCGAAGGCGGCCUGCUGGACUGCAACUGACGUUGAGGCCCGAAAGCGUGGGGAGCAAACAGGAUUAGAUACCCCGGUAUCC